UACAGAGGGUGCGAGCGUUGUCCGGAAUCACUGGGCGUAAAGGGCGCGUAGGCGGCGCGGUAAGCGUGCGGUGAAAGCCCGGGGCUCAACCCCGGGUCGGCCGUGCGGACUGCCGGGCUGGAGCACUGUAGAGGCAGGUGGGAAUUCCGGGUGUAGCGGUGGAAUGCGUAGAGAUCCGGAAGAACACCGGUGGCGAAGGCGGCCUGCUGGGCAGUAGCUGACGCUGAAGCGGCGCA
rnacentral:rRNA from 1 species